UUCCCAUCCCGAACAAGUUAGUUAAGCUUCUCUGCGCCAAUGGUAGUUGGGGGCUUCCCCCUGCGAGAGUAGGUCGCUGCCGGGC
rnacentral:rRNA from 1 species